UCGAGUGGAUUGCCUAACUCUGCCACCACAAUUCGAGCCCGUUCAGUUACCGCUGGCAGAGGCGGGGGACCCAAUUUUUUGGGCUUCGUUGAAGUCCUUGGGGUGAAGUCGUGGGUACGUAUCCGUACUGCCCCACGGCCGGGUGACUCCUACCCGAACCCGACAGCUUACCUCGCAGGCAUUGGGAGAGGCACA
rnacentral:sRNA from 2 species